rnacentral:rRNA from 1 species
GCUACGUUCGGCAGGGAUAAGCGCUGAAAGCAUAUAAGUGCGAAACCCAUCCUAAGAUAAGAUUUCCCUUCUUUUAGACUAAAGACUUCCAGAAGAAUACUGGUUUGAUAGGCCACAGAUGUAAGUGCAGUAAUGUAUUUAGUCGAGUGGUACUAAGUAGUCGUGAGACUUGACUUCUUUUUAU